UACGAAGGGUGCAAACGUUGCUCGGAAUCACUGGGCGUAAAGCGCACGUAGGCGGAUUGUUAAGUCAGGGGUGAAAUCCUGGAGCUCAACUCCAGAACUGCCUUUGAUACUGGCGAUCUCGAGUCCGGGAGAGGUGAGUGGAACUGCGAGUGUAGAGGUGAAAUUCGUAGAUAUUCGCAAGAACACCAGUGGCGAAGGCGGCUCACUGGCCCGAUACUGACGCUGAGGCACGAAAGCGUGGGGAGCAAACAGG
rnacentral:rRNA from 1 species